UUAUGAGAAUUGCAGCUAUCAAUUUCGUUUGUUAUUUGUACGAGAGUUGUAUUGCACCAUAGCACCAUCCACCCGAGUUGAUAAAAAGGUAAAAGAAAAGGGGAGGAAAUAUUAUAGAGUUGAUGGAAAUUAACUUGCUAGAGGGUCAUGGAAAAGCUCCUAACCUGUAUGGGUGUUUUUUUGUAAAUUCUCAAGAGAUUUGAGAGCCACAGCCGCGAGAAGAGUAGAGAUAGCUCAGCCUCCGCUUCUCCCCCACGGCGGCCAUGCUGCUCCGCUUGCGCCCGCUCCCGCAGCCUGCCACAGCAGCAAGCCUCUCUGCCUUCCUACCGCCCCCUUCCUUCCGCCGCCUCCUCCUCUCGCCGCCCUGGCGCCUUCCUCCGCGCCGCCGCCUUUCCACUACCGUUGCUUCCUCCGCAAAGGGUACGGCCUCAAACUAUAGGUCAGGCUAGCAGUAUUGGUGGGGUGAGCCCAGCUGACAUGACCGUUCUCCUCAUUUGGAUGGAGAGCAACCGUCGCAUUGCUAACCACAAGAAACAGCUAGACCAGUUGAGAUCAGCUGCAGUCAAGGCAGAUGAUUCUUCAUAGUGAAGUGGUCCAUGCCUCGACUACAUAAUUGGGUGAACUUCAUGACUAGUUGAGUCAACUGAACAGGGAGCAACAGGUCUUGUGAGGCAAAGAGAAAUGCAUGUACAGCGAAUGGGGUUAUUCUCCCUACAUGCGCAUGUGGCUUAGAAAUUAGAAUGUUAGAUCAGUUUGGGAAUUACAAUUGUAGAGAGUUUCUGAUGCUUUAUGGGGUUAUUCUCCCUA